GAUGAACGCUGGCGGCGUGCCUAAUACAUGCAAGUCGAGCGAACAGACGAGGAGCUUGCUCCUCUGACGUUAGCGGCGGACGGGUGAGUAACACGUGUAUAACCUACCUAUAAGACUGGGAUAACUUCGGGAAACCGGAGCUAAUACCGGAUAAUAUAUUGAACCGCAUGGUUCAAUAGUGAAAGACGGUUUUGCUGUCACGUAUAGAUGGUUCCGCGCCGCAUUAGCUAGUUGGUAAGGUAACGGCUUACCAAGGCAACGAUGCGUAGCCGACCUGAGAGGGGGAUCGCCCACACUGGAACUGAGACACGGUCCAGAGGCCUACGGGAGGCAGCAGUAGGGUAUCGUCGGCAGUGGGCGAAAGCUUGACGGAGCAACGCCGCGUGAGUGAUGAAGGUCUUCGGAUCGGAAAACUCUGUUAUUAGGGAAGAACAACUGUGUAAGUAACUGUGCACGUCUUGACGGUACCUAAUCAGAAAGCCACGGCUAACUACGUG
rnacentral:rRNA from 1 species